rnacentral:rRNA from 1 species
GAUGAACGCUGGCGGCGUGCCUAAUACAUGCAAGUCGAGCGAACAGAUGAGGAGCUUGCUCCUCUGACGUUAGCGGCGGACGGGUGAGUAACACGUGGAUAACCUACCUAUAAGACUGGGAUAACUUCGGGAAACCGGAGCUAAUACCGGAUAAUAUAUUGAACCGCAUGGUUCAAUAGUGAAAGACGGUUUUGCUGUCACUUAUAGAUGGAUCCGCGCCGCAUUAGCUAGUUGGUAAGGUAACGGCUUACCAAGGCAACGAUGCGUAGCCGACCUGAGAGGGUGAUCGGCCACACUGGAACUGAGACACGGUCCAGACUCCUACGGGAGGCAGCAGUAGGGAAUCUUCCGCAAUGGGCGAAAGCAUGACGGAGCAACGCGGCGUGAGUGAUGAAGGUCUUCGGAUCGUAAAACUCUGUUAUUAGGGAAGAACAAAUGUGUAAGUAACUAUGCACGUCUUGACGGUACCUAAGCAGAAAGCAACGGCGAACUACGU